AAAAAAAAAAAAGAAUUAAGUGACAUAAUACAAGAAACUUCCCACAAAAAAUCAAAGAAGUAAAUAAAUACACUGACACAAAAAGUAUUCAAUAAAUACUAACAGUUAAAUUUUUGUUAUGCCUCCAAUAUGGCACCUGUUUCCCUCCCAGUUGAUUCCAACCUAAACUCACUACUUUCUCUGCCUACUGCAUCAGAUUUUCAUCCUAGGUCUCAUCCCAUCAAGUUUCAGUCCUACCCAAUGAGGUUAUUUACUUGGCCAGAGGCAGACAGAGGUUUUCUGGAGUCUGAAGCUUAAACCCUUGUGGAGGGUGCUUUUUAAGAAAAUGAAUACGAAGUUAUGAAUAUAAAAUUAGGUAUGAGGCCUUGGAUGAGAUCCCAGCAAGUGAAGGGCCUUGAGGCUUUCAGCUAUUAGCCCGGGUGAAUCCACCUCUGUUUACACCCUUUUUAUGCCUGGUGCAGUAGAGAGAUCAAAGGCUGUGUGGAAGUCAGACGUUUAUCUCAAUCACUUUGGAGUCUCUAUUUCCUUGUUUGUAAAAUGAAGAGAAUAAUGUCUCAUUUAGUUCCCACAACCAACCUAGGAAGUAGAUAAUUGUUUUACAUUCUCUUCCAUCAGUUGCCAAAUCUCACUUAUUUGAUCUCCAAGAUGAAUUUAGUUCCUUUUCUUCUCUCAGCCCCCACACUGCCUACUCUGAGUCACCAUCCUCUCUCACCUGGGUAACAGUCUCUCCUCGCUGCUGAUCUUCACUCUGGCCUCCCUCAAGCUGUCCUCCACACUGCUGCCAGAGUCAUCGUUUAAACGACAAAUCUGGUCAUGUCUAUCCCUGCUUUAAAUGCUCCACUGACUCCCAAUUGAUCUUUUCAAGACUAACUGUACACACCCGCACACACGCACACAAUCUGUUACUUAAUGUUUUUGUCUCACACUAAUGUUUAAAAUCAAUACAUUUUAUUUAACAGGUAUUUUGAAAUUGUGAACAGAUAUUAUUCACUUUAUUUAUAUAUACGUGCAUGGAAUAGCUAUAGAAUUGAUCAUGUAUUUUGUCCACAAAGAAAACCUUAACCAGUAGAGGAAAGUGGAGUCUAUAAAGGUUGUAUUUCACCUUACAUUUUAAGGGCAGCGAACAUGCCCAUUUUGUUUGCUGCCGCAUCCCAAAAGCCUUAUUCACUACCUAGCAGAGAGUAGGUUUUGGUAAAUACAUGGCAAAGGAAAGAAAAAAUGAAUGCAUGAAUAACAGAUACCAGUAGCUAAGCUGCUUUUCACAUAGAAGAUACUGAAAUUCACUAUGACAAUGUUCUGAGUAUUCUUAGAUUGAGAGGCAAGAAUAUAAUUACUGCAUAAUUAUUAUUUCAUAUUAAUCAUUAGGUACCAAAAAUGUCCUCCUUCCCAUGACAUAACAAUUUAUUCCAUAUCAGCUGGUUUCAUGGUCUAUCGAGAAGUGCUUCUUCUUCUUCAACAUGAAGGACUCUUGUUUGGGUGGGCGUCCCUUUGGGUUACCUAGUUUUCCUAGAUGUAUAAGACGUGUUCCCUUGCUGGUUAAGAGUCUGACACUAGUGUCAUUUUAAAAUCACUGACCACACAGAGUCAGCUAUCUCUGUUUUCUCCACCAUGUUCCAGGUCAAGACGAUAUGGUGAAAACACCACUUGCACCGCCUAUCCACCUCUACCUACCUCCUGCCCGAGACUUUCCGUCCUAAAUGUGCUUCCCUGACUUCUGUUCCAGGCUCCACAGUUGUUGUCCCUCCCUCUACCCUGCUGGAAUCCCUCCUGCCCACUUGCAUGGGGGUAUACAGACAGCUGGGGCUUGCCUCCUGGAGCAAGAAUAGCACGAUUACUCAGGCCCCCUCUCAGCUUUGUACUGCUGGAGAAAGUAACAUGUGUUGUAUGUCUAGGGAAACUAGGCUGUCCAGAGGGACAUCCACCCAAUUGCGAGUCUUUGUGGUAAUCCUGAUGACCUCCCAGGUUUACUGCAGCAGCCCACAGACCUGCAGGGAAUAUGAGGCAGAGGAUCCUCUUCAUGGGGCCCCUCUAUUCCCUGAUUCUCUCCCUCAUUGUCAGAACGUACUCCACUGGCAAUUACCUGCAAAUUCCCACCAAUUAUCAUCAGCCCAAUGACCUCAAGAGGCCAGCUUGUAAGCCACCUUGGAAAUAAAGAAGAAAAUAUCCAAGGAUUUUACCUCUCCUCACAUUUCUCCAGCUUCUGGCCAAUGUGAAGGAAUUUAACAUGCCCCAUAGCCUGUCCCAAACUAUGAAGCCUGAUUUUUCAUUGGGUCAUGAGAUAUUUUGUCUCCUACUGAGAGGUUUCAGGCAGUUGUGAGCAGCCUGGAGAGACACCGUUGGGAUAGUCCUUCCAGACCUCUCCAAAUCAUGUCACUAUAUAUGUCACAGAGCCGAGUGGCUCCUCCAACCUGCUUUCUCUUCAGUAAAGGGAGGCAGAAGAAAACUUCCUGAGGCCAAGUCCUUCUGGUGUUUUUCCUCUCACAGUUCCAGGACCAAACUGAGGAGGAGCUAAGGAUGCCAUAAAUGAGAAGAAAGAUGCCAGAUGGAGGGAGGCAGAGGAGGUAAGAGAGAUAAUGAUGAGGGCACAAUGCCCAAGUGCAGAAAUAGAGGAAUGGGACUUGCUCCUCCAAAGUGAAACAAGCCGUAAACAAUAAAGAAAUCCCAGAAUAACCGACAUGAAAAUUUCUCAUCCUGUUAUCCAAGACCCUGAAAGUGUAUUAACCUAGACCCACCUCAACCUCGCCGACCUCAUAUUCCAGUUAACCAGAAAACACACUCCUUUUCCACAAAACCGUGCUGAUUACCAUUCCAACUACCUAGAGCAUCUUUCUCUGGCACUUUCCAAAAUAAACUCAUACCUUAACCCCAAUCAAUGCCAGCCCUCUUUGGACAUCUCUGGCCCUUAUAAUAUUAGGUAAUGAAUGCAACCUUCUAGCAGACUAAUUGUACUAGCGGUGAGACCCUAGGCAAGUUACCUAAAUGUUCUGGGCCUCAGUGACCUUAUUUAUGAAUAGGAUGAUAAAAAUGGUACUUACUUUAUUGUGCUGAUGCCAAGAUUAAAGAACGUGGCUUACGUGAAGUGCUUAAAAGUAUCUGGCAUACAACAAAUGCUCAACAAAUGCCACGGUUUAUCACACAUUCUUGUACUUGACUGUGUGUUGCUCUGAGUGACUUGGGGAUAGAUUCAUAACUGUCUCCUCUGUUUUCUCAAGCAGGCUAGGAGCUCCUAGAGAACAGCUGUUAUGCCUAAAACCUACUUGAGGUACUCCAAAGCUGUGCACAUAAUAGGGACUGAAAGAGUUCCGGAAGAGCAGUAUCACUGAGCAUCUACCAUGUGUUAGGCAAUGCAAUAGAUGGUGAAGAGACAAGAACGAAGCUCUGCGGGGCCUACCUCAGGGUCACAGGGAGUGUGGGAGGAGGCAAACAUUUUCUAGAUUAACACGCCCCCCCUUUCCUGUGCCUGCUCCCACAUCCUUUGGGAAGAGGCUGGUGGCAUGCUUGCAUUUGUACUCAGCACAGCUACAGAUUUGUUGAACAUUGUGUUUUGAUUAAAAAUUAAUAGCUGCAUUUGA